GUGAAUCAUCAAAUUUUUGAACGCAAAUUGCACUCUCCUCGGAGAGUAUGCCUGUUUGAGGGUCAGCCUAUAAAAACCGCCCACGUUGCUGUUUCGAGGUGGUGUUCGUCGGAAAUUGGGGCAUCUUAAAUCCUUUGGCUUUAAGCCACCUAAAUUUUUCUUAUUGGUUUCAUUAACGAUGUCUAGAAUUA
rnacentral:misc_RNA from 1 species